AUCAACUGCCAUACCAUGCUGAAAGUCCCGCUUCUCGUCCGAUCACCGAAGUCAAGCAGCAUCAGGAGCGAUCAGUGUUUGGGAGGGUGACUCCUUGGGAACACCACGUUCUGUUGACA
rnacentral:rRNA from 1 species